rnacentral:tRNA from 1 species
UGCAUCGGCCGGGAAUCGAACCCAGGCCGCCCGCGUUGCAGGCGAGCAUUCUACCACUAAGCCACCGAUGC